ensembl:lncRNA
GUCAGGAGGAGAGGACAGCGAUGUGUUGAUACAGGGAGACAGAUGGACAUCUGUGGAUUAGGUGAAGGAGGGGUUGAGGUCAGGACAGAGAUGUGUUGAUACAUGGGGAGACAGAUGGACAUCUGUGGAUUAGGUGAAGGAGGGGUUGAGGUCAGGAGGAGAGGAGAGCGAUGUGUUGAUACAGGGGAGACAGAUGGACAUCUGGGUAUUAGGUGAAGGAGGGGUUGAGGUCAGGAGGUGAGGACAGAGAUGUGUUGAUACAUGGGGAGACAGAUGGACAUCUGUGGAUUAGGUGAAGGAGGGGUUGAGGUCAGGAGGAGAGGAGAGCGAUGUGUUGAUACAGGGGAGACAGAUGGACAUCUGGGUAUUAGGUGAAGGAGGGGUUGAGGUCAGGAGGUGAGGACAGAGAUGUGUUGAUACAUGGGGAGACAGAUGGACAUCUGUGGAUUAGGUGAAGGAGGGGUUGAGGUCAGGAGGUGAGGACAGCGAUGUGUUGAUA